rnacentral:tRNA from 1 species
GGGCUCGUAGUUCAGUCUGGCAGAACGUCCCCCUUGCAACGAACUUCAAGCGCAAAGUUCGACCAUGCGCUUCCGCAAGACAGGGGAAGGCCCAGGGUUCAAAUCCCUGCGAGUCCA